UAGUCCACGCUGUAAACGAUGAUUACUCGUUGUCGGCGAUACACAGUCGGUGGCUAAGCGAAAGUGAUAAGUAAUCCACCUGGGGAGUACGAUCGCAAGGUUGAAACUCAAAGGAAUUGACGGGGGCCCGCACAAGCGGAGGAGCAUGUGGUUUAAUUCGAUGAUACGGCGAGGAACCUUACCUGGGCUUAAAUGUAGAGUGCAUGAUUGGGAAACCAGUCUUUUCUUCGGAACUCUUUACAAGGUGCUGCAUGGUUGUCGUCAGCUCGUGCCGUGAGGUGUCGGGUUAAGUCCCAUAACGAGCGCAACCCCUACCUUUAGUUGCCAUCAGGUAAUGCUGGGGACUCUAGAGGAACUGCCUACGCAAGUAGCGAGGAAGGUGGGGAUGACGUCAAAUCAUCACGGCCCUUACGUCCUGGGCUACACACGUGCUACAAUGGUAGGUACAGAGAGCAGCCACUACGCGAGUAGGAGCGAAUCUACAAAACCUAUCACAGUUCGGAUCGGAGU
rnacentral:rRNA from 1 species